CUACCAUGCAAGUCGAACGAUGACCUCCAGCUUGCUGGGGUGAUUAGUGGCGAACGGGUGAGUAACACGUGAGUAACCUGCCCUUAACUCUGGGAUAAGCCUGGGAAACUGGGUCUAAUACCGGAUAUGACUCCUCAUCGCAUGGUGGGGGGUGGAAAGCUUUUUGUGGUUUUGGAUGGACUCGCGGCCUAUCAGCUUGUUGGUGAGGUAAUGGCUCACCAAGGCGACGACGGGUAGCCGGCCUGAGAGGGUGACCGGCCACACUGGGACUGAGACACGGCCCAGACUCCUACGGGAGGCAGCAGUGGGGAAUAUUGCACAAUGGGCGAAAGCCUGAUGCAGCGACGCCGCGUGAGGGAUGACGGCCUUCGGGUUGUAAACCUCUUUCAGUAGGGAAGAAGCGAAAGUGACGGUACCUGCAGAAGAAGCGCCGGCUAACUACGUGCCACCAGCCGCGGUAAUACGUAGGGCGCAAGCGUUAUCCGGAAUUAUUGGGCGUAAAGAGCUCGUAGGCGGUUUGUCGCGUCUGCCGUGAAAGUCCGGGGCUCAACUCCGGAUCUGCGGUGGGUACGGGCAGACUAGAGUGAUGUAGGGGAGACUGGAAUUCCUGGUGUAGCGGUGAAAUGCGCAGAUAUCAGGAGGAACACCGAUGGCGAAGGCAGGUCUCUGGGCAUUAACUGACGCUGAGGAGCGAAAGCAUGGGGAGCGAACAGGAUUAGAUACCCUGGUAGUCCAUGCCGUAAACGUUGGGCACUAGGUGUGGGGGACAUUCCACGUUUUCCGCGCCGUAGCUAACGCAUUAAGUGCCCCGCCUGGGGAGUACGGCCGCAAGGCUAA
rnacentral:rRNA from 1 species